GACGAACGCUGGCGGCGUGCUUAACACAUGCAAGUCGAACGGAAAGGCCCUGCUUGCAGGGUAUUCGAGUGGCGAACGGGUGAGUAACACGUGGGUGAUCUGCCCUGCACUUCGGGAUAAGCCUGGGAAACUGGGUCUAAUACCGGAUAGGAGCCAUUUUUAGUGUGAUGGUUGGAAAGUUUUUUCGGUGUAGGAUGAGCUCGCGGCCUAUCAGCUUGUUGGUGGGGUAAUGGCCUACCAAGGCGGCGACGGGUAGCCGGCCUGAGAGGGUGGACGGCCACAUUGGGACUGAGAUACGGCCCAGACUCCUACGGGAGGCAGCAGUGGGGAAUAUUGCACAAUGGGCGCAAGCCUGAUGCAGCGACGCCGCGUGGGGGAUGACGGCCUUCGGGUUGUAAACUCCUUUCGCUAGGGACGAAGCUUUUUGUGGCGGUACCUAGAUAAGAAGCACCGGCUAACUACGUG
rnacentral:rRNA from 1 species